CCUUUGUUGCCAGCGGUCCGGCCGGGAACUCAAAGGAGACUGCCAGUGAUAAACUGGAGGAAGGUGGGGAUGACGUCAAGUCAUCAUGGCCCUUACGACCAGGGCUACACACGUGCUACAAUGGCGCAUACAAAGAGAAGCGACCUCGCGAGAGCAAGCGGACCUCAUAAAGUGCGUCGUAGUCCGGAUUGGAGUCUGCAACUCGACUCCAUGAAGUCGGAAUCGCUAGUAAUCGUGGAUCAGAAUGCCACGGUGAAUACGUUCCCGGGCCUUGUACACACCGCCCGUCACACCAUGGGAGUGGGUUGCAAAAGAAGUAGGUAGCUUAACCUUCGGGAGGGCGCUUACCACUUUGUGAUUCAUGACUGGGGUGAAGUCGUAACAAGGUAACCGUAGGGGAACCUGCGGUUGGAUCACCUCCUU
rnacentral:rRNA from 1 species